rnacentral:rRNA from 1 species
GAUGAACGCUGGCGGCGUGCCUAAUACAUGCAAGUCGAGCGAACAGAUGAGGAUCUUGCUCCUCUGACGUUACCGACGGACGGGUGAGUACCACGUGUCUGACCUACCUAUAAGGCUGGGAUCACUUCGGGAAACCUGAGCUCACAUCCGAUAAUAUAUUGAACCGCGUGGUUCAAUAGUCCAAGCCCGUUUUGCUGUGCCUUAUAGAUGGAUCCGGGCCGGAUUAGCUAGUUGGUAAGGUAACGGCCUACCAAGGCAACGAUGCGUAGCCGACCUGAGAGGGUGAUCGGCCACACUGGAACUGAGACACGGUCCAGACUCCUACGGGAGGCAGCAGUAGGGAAUCUUGCGCAAUGGGCGAAAGCCUGACGCAGCAACGCCGCGUGAGUGAUGAAGGUCUUCGGAUCGUAAAGCUCUGUUAGUAGGGAAGAACAAAUGUGUAAGUAACUAUGCACGUCUUGACGGUACCUAAUCAGAAAGCCACGGCUAACUACGUG